rnacentral:tRNA from 1 species
UGUAUAUUAGUGUAUAAGCACAAAAAAUUUUGAUUUUUUAAGAGAUGGUGGGAGUCCGUUGUAUGUAG